AGCUAGAAAGGAUCUUUGCUGUCAAGAUCUAAGCUACAAAGAAUGGAACUUCAUCGUGAUCUCUUCCAAGGUUAUUCACAUGACCUCUUUGGUGAUUUACCACUGCAACUGUUUGCUAGAUUCUUGGAUGGCGAAAGCUUCGAUGAGAUGUCUCAAUACAUUAAUGAUCGACUGGCUGCUAAUGAGUGGAAUGAAUUGAAAAUUGUCAUGAUGGCUACUGAAGUGCCUCCUUUUUCUGAAAACAUAGAGUUUUUGGACAAAUUUUUCAAUGGAAUUGUUAUCCCACAGAAACAUUGGAAAUCUUUGCAGAGGGGAAAAUCAGAGCAGUCGCUUUUUGUUCUUGAUAUCAUAGAAUCAAUUGCAAUUCAUGCAGACAAGAAUGUUGCUGUAAAAAAUCUCUCCAAGUUUAGUGGCAUCGAAAUCUUGUGUAAUAUUAUCAUGGAUCAAUCAAGAAGCGAUGGUGAAAAAAUUUGUUGUCUCAAUGCAAUUAAAGCAAUCCUCCUCAGAACAGAGGAUGUUGAACUUAUUAGACCAAUUUUGCCUCUUGUAAAGCACAUUUUUACAAUUAUGAAACAGCCAAAAGCAAACUGUGGAAUUGUACAUCUUGGCAUUGAUGUUGUUCACGCUGCUUGUUGCUGCCGCAAUUCUACUAGUUUAAUGAUAGAAAUACUAAGUUCUCUAAGCUCUGAAGUUGUUCAUUUUUUAGCAAGUGCAUUCAAAAGGGGUCAGGAACAGAAAGGAUCACAAAUUGAAAACGGAUUGUACACCUGGACUGCAGCUAUGAAGACCAUUUCAAUGAUUUUAAAGAAGGCUAAGUCAGUCAAGAUUAGCAAAGAUAAUCUAUUGAACCUUACCAAGACUGUUGUUAAAAUAAUCAACAGUUCUAUUGCAAUAACUUCAGUUGAACUUAAUCAAUCAAAGUUUUCAUGUGUAGAAGCUGCUGUUGUGGUCAUUGCACUUCUUAUGGACGAAGAUGACAGAGCUAAAGACAUGAAUGUCACUCGAGGAUCUAGAGUCGUGAGAGCAAUCAUUGAAGGAAUACUAUUUGUUUGCAACAAUAGCAAAAUCAGAAACCGCUGCUUUAAAUAUGAUAUGAUGGGGAACUCAUUCUUGAUAAUCGGAAAGAUGAUUGAGAAGAACAUUGGAAUUGAUAUUAAAUUACUAGCUCCAGCUUUCUCUGCACUUUCUACUUUCUUUGCAGUCACAGUUUGCCCUGAACAUUAUGCUUCAGAUUUUGCUGUAGUUUGUCUUGGAGCUGUUGAUAAAGGUAGUAAAGAUGAUGUAAAGCACCUGCUCAGUCAACAAAUGAUGCCCUUACUGGCAAUAUUAUAUAAUGUUAACAGCAAGAGUAAAAUGUUGGGUGUUCUAUUAUCCACACUGUAUAAAGUGAUUCUUAAGGUACCAGACACAGACCAGUUCUAUCAUUUCAAAGACAAACUUUUCACUGCUCUGCUGUAUCGCUAUUGGGAUCCAGUUAUCUGUGAUUUUGAUACCGAUGAUGCUGAGAUUGGCAAUAUGUGUGCCUAUGUGUUAACAGCUAUUGGUAUAAAUUGCCAUUAUACAGAUGAGAAAAGGUUUCAAAUCCUGCAAAGAUAUUUUCAUCACAAAUAUGAAAUUAUUGAGACCGGAAAAAUCCCAAUAAAGGCACCCUAUCCUGGGUCAUUUCUAGUAAAAAAGAUGGUUAAUGUCAGCUGUUUUAAAUCAAAUGUCUUACCACAUAUUUGGUAUGUUGCAGAGACUGGACCAAAUGAACUUGUAAGUGCUCUUUUCGAGUCUAUUUCUGAAGCAGAAGUGCCCACCAGCACUAAGGAUGUAACUACUCUAAAAGAAAUGAAAGAACAAGUGCUGAAGUUUGUUUUGAUUGAAAUUAAGGCUAUCAUUGAACUGAAAUCACAGCAAGAAGAUAGUACAAUAAUUACCAUCACCCAAUUCCUAACCUCUAUCCCCUGCAAUGAGCAAGGUGACACGGUGUUGUAUCACUUAGAAGACUUAGUGUCACCUUGUCUGGGCUUGUUGGAGGAUCAGAACAACAAAAGGAUCAUUGAGAACGUCAAGAAGUUCAUCAAAAACCUGCACUGUUGGUAGAUUGUUAGCUUGAGUCUGUUGAACUGAGACCCUGCAAUUUUUAAAUAACGGCACCGAAAUUUAAAUGAUAAUUUAUGUUCAAUCUUAUUUCGAAUCGAUAUAAUAUUAGGGAUUCAUUUUAAUGUCAUUUUUACACGAUUUGAAAAUUGAUUUUUUAUACAAAAAUGUACAAAAGUCAAAAUAAGUAGCUUCCCUCACAUUGACGUCCAGUUGUUGGAAUAGGUAGGACUAGGGGAAGCAAUAGCUCACUGCUAGGAAGUAAAUUAAUACCUGUAUCGAUAUUUGAAGAGCUGUCUCUAGGUAAAUCAGACACACUACACAGCAACCUGAAAUAUGAAGGUGAAAAAGUAACGAAUGAAUGCAAUAAUCUGGAGGCAACAGGAGUAAGGAUGUGCAAACCUAGCAAUUACAAAAAAUCUUAGCCUUGAAUAAAGAGAAUAGGGCCAAGACUAAGUCUAGCAUUAGUUUAAACUUGGGCAUGAAUAUUAUUUAAAGGACACAAUAAUAUUCGAGAAAAUAUCAUGAUUACACCUUGAUUACAAGGUAAUCAGUUAUAAUUUAUUAAGUAAAUGAUUUUUAAAUAGCAGACUUUUAUUUCAUCUACACAUUGAAUAAUUUCUGUAUUCACUGCAUUGUUCCAUUUUUCUCUUUAAUUAUUUUUAACAGCAGAUCGAUAAUUGUAAAUGAAUAUCGAAGGUAUCGAACAGUAUGUCUUAUUUAUUAUCGUAACUCGAUUUAAAUUUUACUUCCAAUAAUGUGUCGUUUCUAUUAUUCUCAUUCUUAAUCUUUAAAAAAAUAAAUUACGAUAAUAAGUAUAAUUAUAAGCUAUUUAAAAGUGUC